UACGUAGGGUGCAGGCGUUAAUCGGAAUUACUGGGCGUAAAGCGUGCGCAGGCGGUUUGCUAAGACAGGUGUGAAAUCCCCGGGCUUAACCUGGGAACUGCGCUUGUAACUGGCAAGCUAGAGUGUGGCAGAGGGGGGUGGAAUUCCACGUGUAGCAGUGAAAUGCGUAGAGAUGUGGAGGAACACCGGUGGCGAAGGCGGCCUGCUGGGAUCUUGCUGACGCUGAGGCGCGACAGCGUGGGGAGCAAACAGG
rnacentral:rRNA from 1 species